CCUGGUUGAUCCUGCCAGUAAUAUGUGCUUGUCUCAAAGAUUAAGCCAUGCAAGUCCAAGUGCACACGGCCAUUACAGUGAAACUGCGAAUGGCUCAUUAAAUCAGUUAGGGUUCCUUUGAUCACUCCACUCGGUUACUUGGAUAACUGUGAAAAUUCCAGAACCAAUACAUGCCAACGCGUGCCGACCUGGGCCGCCCGUCUCCCCUUUGGGGCGAGGGGGUGGAUCCCCAGGGACGCGUGCAUUUAUCAGAUCCAAAACCUAUGUGAGUGCGCGGCCAGCGGAGAAGGGGGCCACGCGCCUUCCCACCGCCGUCCACUCCCGGCUUUGCUUUGGUAACCUUGAGCCUAGAUAACCUUGAGCCGUUACCGUACCCUUGCGGCAGCGACUGUUAAUUCGAAUAUCUGCCCUAUCAACUUUCGAUGGUAGAUUCGUCGCCUACCAUGGUGACCACGGGUGACUGGGAAUCAGCGUUCGAUUCCGAAGAGGGUGCCUGAGAAACGGCCACCACAUCCAAAAGAGACAGCAGGCGCGCAAAUUACCCAUUUUCGAGCCGGAGAGGUAGUGACGAAACAUAACAAUGCAGAUUUCUCUUAGGGACUCUGUAAUUGGAAUUAGUGUAUCCUAAACCCAUGAGCGAGAACCCAUUUUAGGGCAAGUCUGGUAACAGCAGCUGCGGUAAUUCCAGCUCCAAUAGCGUAUAUUAAAGUUGCUGCAGUUAAAAAGCUUGUAGUUAAAACUCGUGGUCUGGACCUGGUGGUGCUGGUUCUGGAUUCCCAGCCCUCAAGGUGCCCCCUGAAUGCCUUUAACUAGGUGUCCUAGGCUUGGGACCCUGAGCAUUUACUUUGAAAAAAUUAGAGUGUUCAAGGCAGGGUUGGCACUGCGCUCCAUUGAAUACCCCAGCUAGGAAUAAUGGAAUAGUACCCCGGUUCUAUUUUCUGGGGGUUUCCAGAACCCGGAGCCAUGAUUAAGAGGGGUGACUGGGAGCAUUCGUAUUGCGUCGCUAGAGGUGAAGUUCUUGGACCGGCGCAAGACGGACCAGGGCGAAAGCAUUUGCCAAGAACGUUUUCAUUAAUCAAGCACGAAAGUCAGAAAGUCUGAGAUUUGAAGACGAUCAGAUACCGUCGAAAUUCCGACUGUAAACGAUGCCGACCCGCCAUCCGGCGGCGUUACUCCCAUGACCUGCCGGCCAGCGUGCGGGAAAUCACAGGUCUUUGGGUUCUGAGGGGAGUAUGGUUGCAGAGCUGAAACUUAAAGGAAUUGAUGGAAGGGCACCAACAGGAGUGGAGUGUGCGGCUUAAUUUGACUCAACACGGGGCACCUCACCCGACCCGGACACGGAAAGGAUUGACAGAUUGAUAGCUCUUCCGGAAAAUGGGAUGACCCGUGGAUGGGUGAAAUAUAAGGUUAGAGGAUUCAUCCUGGUAAAGCCUGGCUCAACCUGAUCAAUAAGAUAAUUAUGGCCCUGGGGUAGCCGACUUUCCAGAUGACGUCACAGUCAGCCACUAUGGCAUGAUCCAGAACGGAAAACCUAACCCUAACCUAACCCUAACGAUAAAAGCUCGGUCGAGGAGCCCAAUGGGCUGAUGCUAACAAGCUCCACACCAAUGGUCACCCAAGCCCUGACUGAGCCUAGAGCCAACCGGGAACAGGGGGAGCACCCAGGGGUGGUGGUGAUCCUGCUGCUCUGGGACUU
rnacentral:rRNA from 1 species